rnacentral:rRNA from 1 species
UGGGGAAUCUUGGACAAUGGGGCAACCCUGAUCCAGCCAUGCCGCGUGAGUGAUGAAGGCCUUAGGGUCGUAAAGCUCUUUCGCCUGUGAAGAUAAUGACGGUAGCAGGUAAAGAAACCCCGGCUAACUCCGUGCCAGCAGCCGCGGUAAUACGGAGGGGGUUAGCGUUGUUCGGAAUUACUGGGCGUAAAGCGCACGUAGGCGGACCAGAAAGUUGGGGGUGAAAUCCCGGGGGCUCAACCCCGGAACUGCCUCCAAAACUAUUGGUCUAGAGUUCGAGAGAGGUGAGUGGAAUUCCAAGUGUAGAGGUGAAAUUCGUAGAUAUUUGGAGGAACACCAGUGGCGAAGGCGGCUCACUGGCUCGAUACUGACGCUGAGGUGCGAAAGUGUGGGGAGCAAACAGGAUUAGAUACCCUGGUAGUCCACACCGUAAAACGAUGAAUGCCAGU